CACACGUCUCUCAGAAAUUCAACAAACCCUAAUUCGCAUUCAGUUCCCUUCUCAUCUCAAUUUCCAUAUCUUAGCGGCACUCACUAUGAUUCUCGAUAAACUUGUUUUUUGUUUCAAAAUUCUUCAUUCUUUAUGUUAGAUUUGUAUUUGAACACGGACCGGGAUGAAUAGUGCUAUAUUCUGACACCUCUUGUAUGAGAUGAAUCGAAAGAUCCAUCUUUGAGCACAUAAAGCAACUCUCUGAGUCCUUAAUUUUCCAAUUUUUUUAUUCUUUAAAUUUUUAGUUAAGAUUGUGAUUUUUUUUAUGUUUAGGUUGGUGUUGAAGGAUGAAAAUUUGACGGAUUACGAUUGAUGUGAUUUAUUUCAUAUAUGAUUUCAUAAUCAGCUACUUCUGACUACAUUAAAGACUAUUUUGAUUUCAAUUUUUUACUAUUUCAGAUUUAUUCAAUUAUAUACAAUUUGUUGUUUAAUUUGUUGUUUUUUUGCGCCUAUGAUGUAAGUAAAUAUUUGCUACUCUUGAUGGGAUCAUCCCAAUUGAUGAAUAUUAACCUCCAAGAUCUCUGAGGCUUUCCUAUAUUUAUCGUCUUUAUUUGUUUUGCUAAUUUAUGGUCUCAGUUUUUGUUUGAUUUUUAGAUUAUAAUCAAAAUGGCAAUGACAAGUGAAGUUUCCUCAAUAGAAUUUACGGCUGCAAUUUGUCUUAGUUUCGAUCUCAUUAUGGUGGUGUGAAUGUCAACAGACCUCCUCUUGAUGAUUUAGUUUCUAGGCGUAUUCAUAGACAAAAUGGACAAAUUGUUUAAAUAGCUCAUCUCUUAAGGAGACAGACAAGGGUUUUGGAUAAAAUAUUAUCAGUGUUUAGUGCUGAAAUUUAACGCUAUGAAAUUUAAUUUAAGAAUUUUAAUUAAUUGUUUUUUCAGAAAAUUUAAUAAAAAAUUAUUAAUUUAUUCAUUAAAAAAUUUAAAUAGUUUUUUUUUUUUGGAAAUCUUGGUAUCCGGCGUUGCGACCGACUAAUCCAAGAGGGACCAUAGAUAUUACAAAUAAGGUUUUAUCUCUACUCAUGUGUAAAAUUGGAGGGGGAUUAAAAAUUAAAAAUUAAAAACUUAGUUUCUUUUUAUUAGUGAAACUAGAAGAGGAUCCGUUUGGAUAAAAUAAAACUUAAAUUUUUUAUUGAUGGAAAUGAUUUAAAUUAUUUAUUGAUGGAAAUGAUCAUAGUUAAGUAUUAUAUAUGCUCUCUAGAGCACCACCAGCGCGGAAGUUCUCGCUACUUUUCUCAACAAAAUAUCAUUGGAAUUGGAUGGGGUGGACUACCGUUUGCAUCGCAAUACAACGUUGCUUUGCUUGCAUCACAAUACAACGUUGCUUUGAUUAUAAUUAGAUUUAUGGUCCGUUGCUUUGAUUAUAACUAGAUCUAUGGUGAAUUCUUAUCUACCCAAUUUAAAAUGUUGGGUAAAGUUACC